rnacentral:rRNA from 1 species
UACGUAGGGGGCUAGCGUUAUCCGGAUUCAUUGGGUUUAAAGGGUGCGUAGGCGGACUAUUAAGUCAGUGGUGAAAGCCUGCAGCUUAACUGCAGAACUGCCAUUGAUACUGAUAGUCUUGAGUUUGGUUAAGGUAGGCGGAAUGUGUAAUGUAGCGGUGAAAUGCUUAGAUAUUACACAGAACACCAAUUGCGUAGGCAGCUUACUGAGCCGACACUGACGCUGAGGCACGAAAGCGUGGGGAUCGAACAGGAUUAGA